GUAUCUUUAUACGUCUGACGUGUACAAGGCCUUUUUAGGGCCCUACAUGAUAGGAAGUCCCUCUGGUGGCCGUCUGAGUGACGGCCACUGGAGGUAUUCCUAUCAAUCAAUGUAAACACUGUAUUUUCAGAGAAAUUGCCUACAGGGAGCUAUAGAUCUCACCUGAACGAAUACAUUAAGCUGUAGUUGUUCAGGUGACUAUAGUGUCCCUUUAAGAUUCCUCAGGAACGCUGCCAG